rnacentral:ncRNA from 2 species
GGUAUUGUUAAUGCUGUAGGUGCCCCGUUAUAGGGGAGAAUAGGGAAUCGGGUGUAAGUCCCGAGCGGUCCCGCCACUGUGAAAAGGAGGUCGCACAUUAAGCCACUGGGCAACCGGGAAGGCGUGUUAGACCGAUGAUUUUGAGCCAGGAGACCUGCCUAUGGUAUGCGAAGCCA